rnacentral:rRNA from 1 species
UACGAAGGGGGCUAGCGUUGUUCGGAAUUACUGGGCGUAAAGCGCACGUAGGCGGGUCUGUAAGUAGAGGGUGAAAUCCCAGGGCUCAACCCUGGAACUGCCUUCUAGACUGCAGGCCUCGAGGUCAGGAGAGGCGAGUGGAAUACCGAGUGUAGAGGUGAAAUUCGUAGAUAUUCGGUGGAACACCAGUGGCGAAGACGACUCGCUGGACUGAUACUGACGCUGAGGUGCGAAAGCGUGGGGAGCAAACAGG